AUCCAGCUGACGAGUCCCAAAUAACACGAAUUGUGCAUCCUGGAU
rfam:Schistosoma rodhaini strain Burundi genome assembly, scaffold: SROB_scaffold0001270